GUGGAUUAGAUACCCUGGUAGUCCACGCCGUAAACGAUGAGUGCUAGAUGUUUCUGGUAUUGACCCCGGAGGCGUCGUAGCUAACGCGUUAAGCACUCCGCCUGGGGAGUACGGCCGCAAGGCUAAAACUCAAAGGAAUUGACGGGGGCCCGCACAAGCGGUGGAGCAUGUGGUUCAAUUCGACGCAACGCGAAGAACCUUACCUGGGUUGGAACCCCCCGGAAGUCUCCAGAGAUGGAGAUGUGCCCGCAAGGGAAUCGGGUGUCCAGGUGCUGCACGGCCGUCGUCAGCU
rnacentral:rRNA from 1 species